rnacentral:rRNA from 1 species
UACGUAGGGUGCAAGCGUUUAAUCGGAAUUACUGGGCGUAAAGCGUGCGCAGGCGGUUUUGUAAGUUUGUCGUGAAAUCCCCGGGCUCAACCUGGGAAUGGCGAUGAAGACUGCAAGGCUAGAAUCUGGCAGAGGGGGGUAGAAUUCCACGUGUAGCAGUGAAAUGCGUAGAGAUGUGGAGGAACACCGAUGGCGAAGGCAGCCCCCUGGGUCAAGAUUGACGCUC